UAAACAAAGGGGAACUCGCAUACUGGAUCGACACCCUCGGCAUUUUCCAACUUUUGUAAUUGAUCGUUCCAAAUAAUGUAUAAUAAUGGGGUCAUACGAAACAUUCCUACCCCUAUACACUAUCUGAAAGUCUUCUCAAUCUUUCUUUAUUUAUUAUCUUCUUUUU
rnacentral:sRNA from 1 species